rnacentral:rRNA from 1 species
GAUUAUGGCUCAGGAUGAACGCUGGCGGCGUGCCUAACACAUGCAAGUCGAACGAAGCAUAUCUAACGGAGAUUCGUCGAAGCUGGAUAUGACUUAGUGGCGGACGGGUGAGUAAUGUAUGAGCAACCUGCCUUUCAGAGGGGGACAACAGUUGGAAACGACUGCUAAUACCGCAUAACGUAUUUGGGUGGCAUCACCUGGAUACCAAAGGAGCAAUCCGCUGAAAGAUGGGCUCAUAUCUGAUUAGCUUGUUGGCGGGGUAACGGCCCACCAAGGCGACGAUCAGUAGCCGGACUGAGAGGUUGAACGGCCACAUUGGGACUGAGAUACGGCCCAGACUCCUACGGGAGGCAGCAGUGGGGAAUAUUGGGCAAUGGGCGAAAGCCCUGACCCAGCAACGCCGCGUGAAGGAAGAAGGUCUUCGGAUUGUAAACUUCUUUUAUGAGGGACGAAGGACGUGACGGUACCUCAUGAAUAAGCCACGGCUAACUACGUGCCAGCCGCCGC